rnacentral:tRNA from 1 species
GCCCCGGUAGCUCAGCGGAUAGAGCAACAUCCUUCUAAGUUGGAGGUCGCCGGUUCGAUUCCGGCUCGGGGCACCA